rnacentral:rRNA from 1 species
UGGGGAAUAUUGCACAAUGGGCGCAAGCCUGAUGCAGCAACGCCGCGUGAGGGAUGACGGCCUUCGGGUUGUAAACCUCUUUUAGCAGGGAAGAAGCGAAAGUGACGGUACCUGCAGAAAAAGCACCGGCUAACUACGUGCCAGCAGCCGCGGUAAUACGUAGGGUGCAAGCGUUGUCCGGAAUUAUUGGGCGUAAAGAGCUCGUAGGCGGUCUGUCGCGUCUGCUGUGAAAUCCCCGAGGCUCAACCUCGGGCCUGCAGUGGGUACGGGCAGACUAGAGUGCGGUAGGGGAGAAUGGAACUCCUGGUGUAGCGGUGGAAUGCGCAGAUAUCAGGAAGAACACCGAUGGCGAAGGCAGUUCUCUGGGCCGUAACUGACGCUGAGGAGCGAAAGCGUGGGGAGCGAACAGGAUUAGAUACCCUGGUAGUCCACGCCGUAAACGUUGGGCGCUAGAUGUGGGGACCAUUCCACGGUUUCCGUGUCGCAGCUAACGCAUUAAGCGCCCCGCCUGGGGAGUACGGCCGCAAGGCUAAAACUU